GACGAACCGUGCGAACGUUGUUCGGAAUCACUGGGCUUAAAGGGCGCGUAGGCGGCCGCUUUGGUCGUGGGUGAAAUCCCCCAGCUCAACUGGGGAAGUGCUUACGAUACCGGGCGGCUCGAGGGAGGAAGGGGCGGUCGGAACUGUCGGUGGAGCGGUGAAAUGCGUUGAUAUCGACAGGAACGCCGGUGGCGAAAGCGGACCGCUGGCCCUCUUCUGACGCUGAGGCGCGAAAGCCAGGGGAGCGGAACGGG
rnacentral:rRNA from 1 species